rnacentral:rRNA from 1 species
CUCGGCAAAUUAUCCUCAUAAGUUUGACGAUAUGAAGAACCAUUAAGUUUUAAUAUCACUUAAUUUAGGUGGUAUUACAAUAAGGUGGUGUCACGAAAUCGGAGGCCCCGACUGUUUACUUAAAACACAGACAUCUGCAACGAUUAAUUUCUUUGUAUAGGUGUUGAAUUUUGCCCGAUGCCAUUAAUGUAAAGUUGAUAAGCGCGUGCGUAUUUAUUGACUGAAAAUCUGGUCAUGGCGGUCUUAACUAUGAGGAUCCUAAGGUAGCAAAAUUAAUUGUCCAUUAAUGUGGUCCUGACUGAAUAAAGUAACGAUGGUCUCACUGUCUCUACAAGUAUCUCAGUGAAAUUGAAUUGGGCGUGCAGAUGCGCUCUGCCUCUAGGUAGACGGGAAGACCCUAUGCAGCUUCUACUG